GACGAACGCUGGCGGCGUGCCUAAUACAUGCAAGUAGAACGCUGAAGGAGGAGCUUGCUUCUCUGGAUGAGUUGCGAACGGGUGAGUAACGCGUAGGUAACCUGCCUGGUAGCGGGGGAUAACUAUUGGAAACGAUAGCUAAUACCGCAUAAGAGUAGAUGUUGCAUGACAUUUGCUUAAAAGGUGCAAUUGCAUCACUACCAGAUGGACCUGCGUUGUAUUAGCUAGUUGGUGGGGUAACGGCUUACCAAGGCGACGAUACAUAGCCGACCUGAGAGGGUGAUCGGCCACACUGGGACUGAGACACGGCCCAGACUCCUACGGGAGGCAGCAGUAGGGAAUCUUCGGCAAUGGACGGAAGUCUGACCGAGCAACGCCGCGUGAGUGAAGAAGGUUUUCGGAUCGUAAAGCUCUGUUGUAAGAGAAGAACGAGUGUGAGAGUGGAAAGUUCACACUGUGACGGUAUCUUAACAGAAAGGGACGGCUAACUACGUG
rnacentral:rRNA from 1 species